AAUGUAAUGGCCGAACAUCUAAGCAUUAGACUGUAAAUCUAACUAUGAAAGUAAUUUCUUACAUUA
rnacentral:tRNA from 1 species